rnacentral:lncRNA from 1 species
GGUGGAUACUUUCAUUGAAGGUUUGUGAAAUGUCACGGCAAGAGCCUGCACCUUUUUGCCUAAUAAAAAAACUAAAAAAUCACAUGCAGAUGUCUCUUUGAUGCAAUACUUCUUAUAACUGGCAGGCGGUGCGCUUAAAUAAAAUUUGGAGAUGCUGUUAAUAAUUUUCCUAAAGACCUUAUCUUGUGGCUCCAUUGCUCAGCAUGACCCUGGUUAUGAGGAUCUGAUGAUCAUGAACAAAGCUGUAACUGUUUCUACUGUGAUCUUCGUAUCACUUCAAAAUGAUCCCCAUUC